CAGAACUUCAACAACCAGGAUCCCUUGCGUGGACCACAAUCCACUUCCUGUCUGGUUGAACUGCAGCCCCUACGUGCAGUGUAAUAGUUACCCAGUAAUAAAUGUAAAAGCUUUUGCUGUGAUAUGGCUAGCCCAAAAACAGCUGAAAAUGGAAAGACCGAAAGUGCAAAAAAAAACCACAGUGAUCGUGGUAAAAUGACAAAAAAAAAAUCAUCUAAGGUAGACCGUAAUAAAAUGGCGGCCACUCAGAGGCCUGCAUGUAUGGAAGCUGAGAUUGGUUUUCCUAAAUUCCCAAAGUAUCGCAAAGCAAAUAAACGGUAUAAAUGCCCAGAUUGUGGGAAAUGGUUUUCUCAUGGCUCACACUUUGAACAGCACCAGAAAGCCCAUUCAGGAAAGACUUUGUAUACAUGCUACGAAUGUGGAAAACAAUUUUCCCGGAAGAGUCAACUUGACCGGCACCAGAAAACACACACCAGACAGUUUAACGCUACAGUGAAGUCAAAAUCAUUGAAGAGGAGUGAACUAAACCUGGAAUGACCUGACUGAACUCAGGAUUGUUGUAAUUAAAUUUUUGAUUCAAUUAAAGUAUUUUUUUUCGUAA